rnacentral:rRNA from 1 species
UACGUAGGUGGCGAGCGUUGUCCGGAUUUACUGGGCGUAAAGGGAGCGUAGGCGGACUUUUAAGUGAGAUGUGAAAUACCCGGGCUCAACUUGGGUGCUGCAUUUCAAACUGGAAGUCUAGAGUGCAGGAGAGGAGAAUGGAAUUCCUAGUGUAGCGGUGAAAUGCGUAGAGAUUAGGAGGAACACCAGUGGCGAAGGCGAUUCUCUGGACUGUAACUGACGCUGAGGCUCGAAAGCGUGGGUAGCAAACAGGAUUAGAUACCCGGGUAGU